rnacentral:misc_RNA from 1 species
GAUGAAGAACGUAGCGAAAUGCGAUAAGUAGUGUGAAUUGCAGAAUUCCAGUGAGUCAUCGAAUCUUUGAACGCACAUUGCGCCCUUUGGCAUUCCGAAGGGCAUGCCUGUUCGAGCGUCAUUAUCACCCCUCAAGCCCCCCUGGCUUGGUGUUGGACGGUUUUGGUGGGACGUGCAGCCUCUCACCCCUCCUAAAGACAAUGACGGCGGCGUCGUUGGAACCCCCGGUACACUGAGCUUCUUAACUGAGCACGUACUGGAUGCGGGUACGCGAUGCACGGUCUGCCUCCCCUUUAGGGAGAACUUUUUCUUAAGGUUGACCUCGGAUCAGGUAGGAAUACCCGCUGAACUUAAGCAUAUCAAUAAGCGGAGGA